CUCAGGACCAGCCGCAGGCAAGCCCGCAACCCCAGUCUCCCGGAUUGUUCUGACCGCUGAGACGCCUUCCACCUCCAAACAAACCUCCAGUGUCCCCAAUUCGAAGUCAUCGUCUCCCUGGUCAAUCUCAGGAUGGAAUCAGGCUGAGAUUGCUCAGCCGGAUGAGAGAACCAUCUGGAGAAUCUGGGGACCCACACUCCAGGACUGAGGAGCCUUACAGAAGGGGUUUUCCUGUGUCUGUAUGGUAGGGUCCCAUGAGAGCCUUGGAAGCUGGAGAGAGUAGAUGACUAGGGCUGUGAACCCCCUAAGGCCAAGCAGUAUCCAGCAGGCGGCCAUGAGAGCUGUGGGCCAAGACAGCAGGACUGAUGCCCAGACUUUCUCCCGUACCCAGGAACGGGCACCUGAGUCUGAGAAGACCAGAGCAUAGCAGGGACCCAAAUGUAGGAGGCUAAGAAAGACGUCAGAGGACUUUUUGUGUCCCUUAGAAUGAUGGUAAGUGGAAGGUUUCCCUUUGCUCAAGGGUGUUGCAUCCUAACCUCCAGGGCCUGUGAGUACAUUCCAUGGCAAGAAGGACUUUGCUGAAGACAAUAAAUUAAAGACCUUGGCCCUAGAGAGAUAGCUAGAGAUUAGGAACAUUUCAGUUUCCAGCACCCACAUGGUGGUCCACAACUAUUUAUAACUCUAUUCCCGGGGAUCCAGUGCCUUCUUCUGGCCUCU